rnacentral:rRNA from 1 species
GAUGAACGCUAGCGGCAGGCCUAAUACAUGCCAGUCGGACGGGAUUCAGGAGCUUGCUUCUGAUGAGAGUGGCGCACGGGUGCGUAACACGUAUGUAACCUACCUUUAUCAGGGGGAUAGCCUCUCGAAAGAGAGAUUAAGCCCGCAUAAAAUCACAGCACAGCAUUGUGUAAUGAUCAAAUAUUUAUAGGAUAAAGAUGGGCAUGCGGAACAUUAGCUAGAUGGCGGGGUAACGUCCCACCAUGGCGACGAUGUUUAGGGGAUCUGAGAGGAUGGCCCCCCACACUGGUACUGAGACACGGACCAGAAUCCUACGGGAGGCAGCAGUAAGGAAUAUUGGUCAAGGAGCGGAAGCCUGAACCAGCCAUGCCGCGUGCAGGAAGACGGCCCUACGGGUUGUAAACUGCUUUUAUACGGGAAUAAACCCAGAUACGUGUAUCUGGCUGAAUGUACUGUAAGAAUAAGGAUCGGCUAACUCCGUG